CCCAAUACUGCUUUAUCUCUUCGCAUUCCUUCCGCUAGCCCCUGCUUCCAAAUCCUUCAUAUCUCCGUCAUGGCUCAGACGGCAAAUCGAUCCAAAUUGCGGUGGGGAGAGCUAGAUGACGACGACGGCGAUCUGGAUUUUCUUCUACCGCCCAAGAAAAUUAUCGGUCCAGACGAGAACGGCUUGAAGAAAAUUAUUGAAUAUCAGUUCAACGAAGAUGGUAAUAAGGUCAAGAUCACAACCACCACGCGUACUCGCAAGCUCGCCCAUGCUCGCCUCAGUAAACACGCCGUUGAGCGCCGAUCUUGGGCAAAGUUCGGCGACGCUGUGCACGAAGACGUCGGCAGCCGCCUCACCAUGGUCUCCACUGAGGAGAUCCUCCUGGAACGCCCUCGUGCUCCUGGUAGCAAACCAGAAGAGCCAAAGGUUGCAGGAGACCCUCUAGCUCAACUUGGAAAAGGUGGUGCUGUUCUUAUGGUGUGUCGUACUUGUGGCAAAAAGGG
rnacentral:misc_RNA from 1 species